rnacentral:misc_RNA from 1 species
GUGAGUCAUCGAAUCUUUGAACGCACCUUGCGCUCCCUAGUAUUCUGGGGAGCAUGUCUGUUUGAGUGUCAUGAACUCUUCAACCCACCAGUUUCUUGUAAACUGGCUGGUGUUUGGAUUUUGAACGUUGCUGGUCUUCGGACGUAGCUCGUUCGUAAUACAUUAGCAUCUCUAAUUCGAAUUCGGAUUGACUCAGUGUAAUAGACUAUUCGCUGAGGACACUUUCAUUAGUGGCCGAACAAGAUAAUUGUAGAAGCUCCAAACCUCUAUAGUCAAUUUUAGAUUAGACCUCAAAUCAGG